rnacentral:rRNA from 1 species
AGCGAACGCUGGCGGCAGGCCUAACACAUGCAAGUCGAGCGAGGACUUCGGUUCUAGCGGCGGACGGGUGAGUAACGCGUGGGAAUGUGCCCUUCUCUACGGAAUAGCCCUGGGAAACUGGGAGUAAUACCGUAUACGCCCUUUUGGGGAAAGAUUUAUCGGAGAAGGAUCAGCCCGCGUUGGAUUAGGUAGUUGGUGGGGUAAUGGCCUACCAAGCCGACGAUCCAUAGCUGGUUUGAGAGGAUGAUCAGCCACACUGGGACUGAGACACGGCCCAGACUCCUACGGGAGGCAGCAGUGGGGAAUCUUAGACAAUGGGGGCAACCCUGAUCUAGCCAUGCCGCGUGAGUGAUGAAGGCCUUAGGGUUGUAAAGCUCUUUCAGCUGGGAAGAUAAUGACGGUACCAGCAGAAGAAGCCCCGGCUAACUCCGUG